UUGAUGGGGGACAACUUACCGAAAGGUGAGCUAAUCCCGCAUGACAUUCAGUUGCUUAAGUAGCUGAAUUAAAGAGGGGGAUCCUUCGGGACCUCUUGCUUGAGGAUGAGCUUAUGUCCUAUUAGCUUGUUGGUAGGGUAAUGGCCUACCAAGGCUCUGAUGGGUAGCCGAGCUGAGAGGCUGAUCGGCCACACUGGAACUGAGACACGGUCCAG
rnacentral:rRNA from 1 species